UACGGGAGGCAGCAGUGGGGAAUAUAGCACAAUGGGCGAAAGCCUGAUGCAGCUAUGCCGCGUGUAUGAAGAAGGCCUUAGGGUUGUAAAGUACUUUCAUCGGGGAGGAAAAAACAAAACUAAUAAUUUUAUUUCUUGACGUUACCCGAAAAAGAAGCACCGGCUAACUCCGUGCCAGCAGCCGCGGUAAUACGGAGGGUGCUAGCGUUAAUCAGAAUUACUGGGCGUAAAGAGCACGUAGGUGGUUUUUUUAAGUCAGAUGUGAAAUCCCUGGGCUUAACCUAGGAACUGCAUUUUGAAACUGAAAUACUAGAGUAUCGUAGAGGGAGGUAGAAUUCUAGGUGUAGCGGUGAAAUGCGUAGAUAUCUGGAGGAAUACCUGUGGCGAAAGCGGCCUCCUAAACGAAUACUGACACUGAGGUGCGAAAGCGUGGGGAGCAAACAGGGAUUAGAUACC
rnacentral:rRNA from 1 species